ACGCGCGGUAACCCUAGCUAGCGGCCGCCGCCCACCAAAUUCCAAAAGAGAAGGGGAACACUUGCGCGGCGCCUGUCGCAUCUGCUUACUUGCCGCCGGUUGGUGACCAGGGUCGCCUUCGCGUCCACAAUGCCUCCGGUUCACGUAAACCCUGUAGAAGCUCUUAAUCUGUUCGAAGAUGCACAAAAGUGUAUGGUGAGAAUCAGUGAAAAGGUUGGGAAGGAGGAGCAACCUGCCGGGAAUGGAUAUGUGGUUUAUUGCAACGAGGACUUCACGGUUGUAACUGCGCAUCCCUCCUACGAAUUUCAGUCCCUUCGUAACGGGAAAAUUAUCCACGGUCAAGUACCGACAGUGACCUUCUGUGAUGGAGCCAGAGCAACUGACACAAUGUUCAUCAAGAUGCACCACUACGUCAAUCUCAUCCUGGCAAAAAUCCCUCACGGUGACUGGGAAGUGGCUCAACCUGGCAAACUAAGUUACCACAGUCGUGAUGUACUGCUCUCGGUGACCUCAUUAUACAACAAGAUGGUCCCUUUCAUCGGCCGGGUCAUUUCUCCACGAGCUACUGCUGUCGAUAGAAAAGGCGAAGAAAUUCCUUCAUCUACAAAUACUUUCACCUUCGAUCUUCCAAUGGCAGGGUCAGUAAGGGAAAAGGAGAAGGUUGGUUUUGAAAAUGAGUUUAUAAGCUCUUGAAAAAUCAAGUUCUUGGGUCCCCGGUCUUGAACCUCCGCCGGAAGAUGGUUGGCUUCGUUGAUCGAUGUGGAAUCAAAUUUCAAGUCAAGUUCGGCAGGAGAUCUGAGGAGCUGGAAUCUGUGAUACAUGGAUGGCUCGCUGGGAGAGACUGGGAGAAGGCAAUCGCAGACCUCACAUCAUCAGAGUUCAGUGCGGGAGGUUCAAAGCGGGCAAAAAGGAACUAGCCAUUUGCCAAGGUAGAUGAAGCAGCAGCAGCAGCAGGAGAAGGCACGAGUCAAUGGUCCAGUGCCAAACAUCAUCGUCAUAGUCCAGUUCAGGCAUUUUUUUGGGGAUCUGAACUUGCUAAUUGUGUUAGCAUUUUGGUUACUAGCUGACAUGUGUAACCCAGUACAUCUAAUUUGGGAACUAAACUAGUUGCCAGUAGCAGUGUAAUGGGGGAAAUGGCCAUUGGAUGGUGCUCAUAGCAACACAAUGAACACCUGAUAUCCUUUUGUGCUGCUUUUUGAGGAAGAGCAAACUGUAGGUCAAAGUAUUUGUCUCGUUUUGAUCAAGACUGCUCUGUUAUGGA